ensembl:lncRNA
GCUGUAGGCCGAGGUGAUCGAGGCUUUAACACUCAGACAACCGCGAGUCAAACCUUUGGGAGAUGCCGUAAAACCCCCAAACAGGCAAGACCAUUUUGCAGGCUCCAGCGUUCUCAAGAUGGUCCUUUGUGCUCUGUGCCAAGCCCAGACCCUUCCAUCACACCGGGAGCCUGCGGUGUAGACCGGGAGCCUGCGGUGUAGACCGGGAGCCUGGGGUUUCUCUCCGUGGGGCUUGUUGCAGGCACCACUGGAUGUGUGAGGGGCCCUGAGUCUCUCCCGUGAAGAUGUGCCCACCCGAUCUUUGGGUUCCCAGAUCAGUCAGUAGCAGGGUGUCACUGGCACAGCUGGGGCCUGCAUGCCCCACGGCCUGCCCCGGGUCCCAGGGUGUAGGGCUCCUGCUGGCGAGCACCGAGUGCAGGGGUGGGGGGAUGAGCUCAUGGAAACCAGCUCUCUGCAAGCGAACAGGGGCUCCGUCCGGCGUCAGACACCUGCUGCUCAGUCCCCAUCCGAGUGGCUGCCUCCCCAGUGCUCUGCCAGUGACCCUGCGGCUUCCUUGUGUCCUGGGGCGGCUCAGCACCCACUUGAUUCUCCAAGGCACCUCGCAGAGCAGUCGGGGGGGCCAGCUUGGGGCGCAGGAAGGGGACCGGCAGCACUGUCCAGGGACCAGGUGGGGCAGGCCUUGUGGAGCGCCUGCUCACUGGCUGGAGGGCUAGAGCCACGACUGAGGGGUCUGUCCCCAGCUCCUGUGUCUCCCAUGUCCCAGCAAACACGGGUGCCCUCCGCGAGGCCAGGGCUGAGAUGGUGCAGGAGGGGGCUGGGCGCAGCCAGGGGAGCAGAAACUUAGGCUGGAGCGGCCAGUGCGAGUGCCCCGGGGUGGGGGGAAUCUGGGUGGCUUCCUGGAGGUGGCAGACCCGCGGCCCUGGGCUUGUGCGCGAGUCCGGCCCCGGCCUGCCACGUCCCAGGGCCCUGCCGCCCGGCGCCGCCCCUCCCGCCGCCCCGCGCCAGCCCUGCACAGGCCACAUCUGCUGCGGCAAGCCUGCCAGGACUCCACCUCCCGGCUCCGUCCCCAUGGAAACCGCGGGGCGGGGGUCCUGCUGCCUUUGGCCCUCGGACUGGUUUCCAUUAGAGCCAGCCUGCUUUCCUCGGGGCUCCCCCUUGCCCCGGCAGGGGCUUCUUCCCGCAUUUACCAAGUGCUGGCCUCUCCUGUGCCAGGAGGCCCGGCAGCCCGGGCCUGCCCGUCCUGGCGGGCAUCCCUCCGCGGGGUGAGUGCCCAGCCCUGCCCAGGGCCGCGGCGGCUCUCGUCCUAACAGGCUCAGACCCCACCUCCUCUCCCACGGGGCCAGCAGCUGCCGGGGCUCAGACUCUGGACCUGAGUCGGGUACCCCGGGUUCCCGCCCCAGCUGUGCCAGGGAGUCACUGGGGGACCUCGAAGGGGCCCCUUUCCCCCUCUGGGCCUCAGUUUGCCUCUCUGUGAAAUGACGGGGUUGAACUGUUCCUCCAGUUCCUUGGGAUGCCAAAAAGGAAAGAGAAAGAAUGAGAAGAUGAAGCUGCAGCAAGGCCAGCAUUUCUGGAGUCUGUUCUGGGAUUUUUGUUUGUUUUCAAAGAGGGAUUUUAUUUAUUUUUUAUUUUUUUUAAAAAAGGAAGGAGCCAUGGAAUUUGACCGGAGAUCAAAUUUGAGAGGCCAAGAGCCAGCCGGAGCCCACGGACCCAUGACAGGGAGGCCCAGCUGGGCUGCGGGCGGCCAGGGGCCUGUGCAGCUGUGCCCGCUAGGCCUCCUCCUGGCAUGUGCCGGGUGCCCAGCGGCCUGGCUGUGAACACAGUGAGCAGAGGCAUGCACCGUGCCCCCGAUGGAAUCCAGAGGGCUCUGGAAAACUACCCGAGAGGUUUCCGGAGGUCAGAAAUGUGGGCAGAAAGUGCGAUCCAGCUUUAUAAAGAAAGCCAGCUGGCUCUUCCUCCAGGGAGCCUGGUGAGGGGCCCAGGGAGCGGCAAUGCUUGGGUGCCUGUGAAGAGCUCGCCCAGGGCUGCUCCGAGGCUGCUGCCCCAGGCCCCGCCUGGUGCCCCGGUGGAGGCCCUGGCCUCCUCAGCUCUUCCUCUCACAGGAGACUGUGGGUGGUGUCUCAGGGGCAUCUCUGCCCACUCUGCCCAGUGGGUGCUUCGGCUCCUCCCACGAGACCCUCAGCACCCACUUGCUUCUUGUGACAUGUCACAGGCACCUCGGAGGCUGGCACCUGCUUGGUCCCGCUCACUGCUCUACGGGGGACACUUUUCAGCUCAUGACGGGGGGCAGAGCCUUGAGGGCAGGGGGGAGCGGUUUCUGGGAGGUCUGAGCAGACUGCUUUGCCCCCUGGGCCUCUUUGUCCCCAUCUGUAAAAUGGACAGAUUUUCAAUAAGUUCCCCAUAUUUUUUCCUACAUUUGCUUCUUUUUUUUUAUCCUCCUUCUCUACUUCUCAAGGAUAGUGUUAAAAAAAUUAAUACAUAUUUAAGUUACUUAGGGGUCGGGCUUCCCUGCUGGCUCGGUAGGAAAGAAUCCGCCUCCAAUGCAGGAGACACAGGUUCGAUCCCUGGGUUGGAAAGAUGCCCUGGCAAAGGGAAGGGCAACCCAAGUAUUCUUGCCUGGAGAAUUUCAUGGACAGAGGAGCCUGGCGGGCUACGGCCGAUAGGGUCACAGAGUCGGACACGACUGAGCGACUUGGGCACACGCAAGAGCCGUGUGCCGGGGUCGUGUGGAAAUUCAGUGAGAAUCGGGAUCAAGGCUGGAUGCGCGCAGGAGGUGGCGUCAGAACAGUACCCACCCUACACCCUCGCCAAGAACGAGCAGGCUGCACGUCCCCGGCUGUUACAGACCCACGGAGGGGCUGACCCUCCCCCGGCGCAGCUCCAUGGAGAGUAGGGACAGCCCGACCUUCCUCAAGGUCACCCGGAACCCGCUGCCAGAAGGCCCAGCAGCCAUGCCGGCAUGUUGGUGUUUCCUCUUUGUCGUCUGGGCUGAGGGACCGUGGAAGCCCGUGCUCGAGGCUGCCUGGGUUUGCUGACAGAUCGUGGCGACGGGAGCGGCAGCCCAUAGGCCCCGGGGAUGUGGUCGCUGCAGCUUAAAGGGUAGGGGGUAGCACCGUCAGUUUUUUGUCUAAGGCAGGAAUGGAGCUUCAGUUUGAGCAAAGAUGGCACCCCAGUAGCCCCUGCCUCUUGGCACCCCAGCCUGCCCUCACCAGUAAAGUAGGCCGAGGGCGUGAGCUUGGAGGAGCAGCCUGCUGCCCGGGCUAAGGUUGAUUUAGAGACACGGGGAGCCAGGGAUGAUGGAGGGAAUGAAGGGAAUUUCCCCAGGGAAGUGGGAGGGAGAGAGAGAGGAGCCUAAGCGCCCAGAUAAUCACAAAGCCUGGCGCAGUGAUCCACGGCGGGCAGCGGGCUUCCCUGGCUGGCCGCACUGCCGCCUCCUAUCUCAGCCGCCCCCCCCGCCCUGAGCCUGGAGACCCCCGGAUGCCGCCCAGCACCCAUGCUUGAAGCCCCUCUGUGUGCCGGGCCCUGACGUCGGUCAUCGGGGCGACCUCACGGAACCCUGAUGUGCCACCAGCCAGAGAACUGAGUUCUGGAGGCUGAGCCCUCGUUGCACCGGAGCCAGACCAGCCACGGUCCUAGGCCUCAGAGCCGACCCUCUGCCCACAGCUGCGUUCAGGGCCUGGGAGGCGGCCCAUCAGAAAGGUGGCUGGUCAGAUUGGGGGAGGCCCACGGGAGAGGGACAGCCAGGACCGCAGCGUCGGGCAAGAGAAAGAAGGGGCGUUUCCUGGCAUGGAUCUGGGACUGCUCUAUAACCUAGACGAGGGACGCUGGGCUGCCUGGACAGGGCGCCAUGUUGGGCCUGACCUUGGGCGGCUUCCGUGGGGACUUUCCUCUGCUGGAGUCACACCCGUCUCCUCUCCCUCCUGAAAUUCCUCGGGGCGGUCCUCGACUCCCCUUCCCACCACCCCUGGACUGCCCUUCAGCUCUGCUGGCGUCCAGCACUUCCCAGACACCCUCCUCUCUGCCGCCAGACGGCGUCCAUUGUCUUGCCCGCUGCCCCGGUGCCCAUCCUGCAGGCUUGCCUCCAGCUCCUGGCUGCAGUCCAGUGUCCCGUCCGUGGGACUGGAGAGGCCCCCAGCAACCUGUUCUGCCCUCUCCACGGCGCCAUCCCCCACCUCUCCAGACUGCGGUGGAGAAUCGCCUCCACCUGGAAGCCCUCCCUGCUCUGCUCAUGCCCAUUGCCCGCAGAUGUCUUGCCCUGGGAGACUGGGCGCUUCGGGAAGGACGGGGCACAGUCACCAGCCUGGCACAGAGCAGGCUCUUGGGGAGCGUUUCAUGAAUGAAUGAAAUGGAAUCCGGAGACCAAAACAGAAGAGAAGGCUGAGUGCCGACUCCCCAGGCUCUGCACCGGGCGCAAGCCAGCAGCUCACCGUGGCGGCCAGGAGUCUAGGCUCCUGCAGAAACAAGUGGAGAGAGUUUAUUUCUUUUUCCGCCUCCACCAGACACAUUCCCUUUUAGGACGAAUCCGGGACCCGUGGAGCCACACCUCGCCACAAACGGUGCAGUGACGCCCGAGGCUCGGCCUGAGAGUGCAGACGGCAGGGGACGCCAGGCUGUGGGAGGACCGCGCGGCCUCUGGGGGUCCCAGCCGGGAAGACCGGCGAGUCCGGCUGCCCGCGGGUGCCAUGGGGCCCAUUCCUCACCCAUCGCUGGGCGUGAGAGGCAGGAUCCGUCAGCCCGUUGGGUGUCAUGGGCGGGGGAGCCCUCCGCACAUUCUGUUCAGGGGAGAUAUUUCUGACUCACAGAUCUCCUACCCGCUCCUGCCCCACACUGUCACAGUUCCCAGGGGUCCCCUCCAGGGGGUGACGACAAGGCGCAGGACCCUCUGGCCUCUCCUCUCCCCGCAGCGGCUGGUUCCUGACAGGUCAGCCCUGGCCUUGCGGCUUCUCGGGGGGACCUUGCCACAGCCCGUCGUUACGACUGUUCACCUCUGUGAGUCAUGGUGAACGCGGGUGUUGGCGCCCGGCACCCUUCUGGGGCAUCUUUGUCCAGCUGUCGGGGGUCUGGGUCAGCUUCCAUUCAGGCCAUUUAAAGGUGUGCCUUGGGGGAGCUUCCCUGGUAGUCCAGGGCUUAAGACUCCGUGCUCCCGUGCAGGAGGUGCAGGUUGGAUCCCUGGUCAGGGAACCAGAUCCCCACGUGCUGCACAGCUCAGCCAAAUAAAUACGAAAUAAAAUACAUUUAAAAAAGGAAAUAAAAAAUAAAAGCGCGCCUUGGGGAGAUCACUGCCCGGCAGGCAGGGCCCAGCGGCCUCCUGGCUCUGUCGGCUGCCUGCGGCGAGGUCGUGGGCCCGUCCCUGCCCUGCGGUGGGCCUGUUUCUACCCCUGAUGCACCAUCGUUUUGACCUGCACCUGCGACAUCGGGUGGGGCUCUGGAAGGUUCUGAGGGGCCAGAUUUGGGGUAGCUACCUCAGACAUGUGAGUGCCCCUGGGCUCUGAGCUGGGAACCCACUUCUAGGGGUCUCCCUGGGGGAGCAAGGAAAGGUGUCUGCAUAAAGAUAAGAGGUACUCAUCGUCACGUCUCUUACAAAGGUGGGCUUGGCUGUGUGGGCUGAGCAGCUGUGACGAGGUCAUGGCCGGGCAGGCUCUGUGGCUGGUCAGGAGGACACACAGGGCUUAUGGCCACAUGCACGUGCCUCCAGAAUGGCUGCGGGCCCUCAGGGGUGGGCAAGGCCUGCCGUGGGCUGGGUUCACGGAGGAUGCAAAAUGUUCGCUGCCCCUUUCUCCUUUGUUUCCCAGAAUCGUGUUUCUUGAGCAUCUAUUCCUAUUUGUAACUGAAGAAAAAAUUCUUUUAGAUUAUGAAAUUAACCACCAGAGUGAAACUGACCCGCCGAGAUUCUCCCUGUGUGUUCUCCCUUGAAGGAAAACGUUCCCUGGGGCACCGGUGCUCACCGGUGGGGCCGCACUGUCGUCCCGGCGCCUCCUGCCCAUUUAGAAGGAGCGGAGGCAGCUUGCCGGGAGGGGAUGCUCUGACAUGGGGUGCCCCCGCUGCCAAGGUGGCGGGGCCGCGGCUCCAAGCGGGGCCCAUCCUGGCGCCUGAAUGUGUUCAUGGUGUUCUGAGUCUGUAGCCUGGGAGGAACCUCUAGGACGCGCAGGGCGGUUUUGCUGUCUCGCUACAACCGGGCUCUUUCUCUGCUGUUCCAGGUACCAUCCUCGGCUAUGGUGACCCCCACCCAAGGUGUGAGCCUGGGAGCGGCCGGCCUCCUCCGCCGGACCAACUCGGUGACGAGCCUGCUGUCGCUGGUGGCCUUCGGUGCGGACCCACUGUGUGCCUGCCAGGCUCUCGGGAACUCCACAUUCGUGUGCUCAGACAGACAUCAGCUUUGGAUGAACGUGGCUGAGCACCUCCGGCAAACUGGACGCCUGUCGUGGCCUUCGAAGACGCUCCAGCACCACGUGGCCGGUCCUUGCCCCGUGUCUGGCUGGCAGGGCAGCCCAGGAGGCCUCAUCCCUCAUCCCUCCGCCUGGACGCCUCGGUCCUCAGCUGAUGCCUGGAGCUCGGAUGGCUGUGCCCGCCUCAGGUCAGGGAGCGUGCGAAUGUUGGAACUCAGAGCUCCCCACCCGCUCCGACCGGCGCCACCCUGGACUGGGUCAAGAAGUGGCGCUGAGAUGGGAGUGUCUGCCUGAGGCCAGCGUUCCUCAUGGGGAGCCCAGCCGGGGAGCCCAGCCGGGACCCCCAGGAGGCCCCUGGGACACCAGCCCACCCUGGCCUCGGUGUGGCGACUGUCCCAGGGCACGGGUCAGUACAGCUUGCUGUGCACGCUCCUCUGGCCAUCCUGGUGCUGGGAAGCAAGGAGCCCCAGCGGGAGGAUUGUGAUGGGGAGGGGCACGGUCAGGGCUGUGUCUGUGGUGCCCUGUGACCUCAGCCGUCACGGAGGACCCUUGGCCACCCUCUCCUCAGCCCCCGUCCUUAGAGGUGGGCUGGCUCUGUCCUUGGGGACCCCCUGGCCCUGACUGCCGGCGGGAGUUCAGGCAGAGACAGUGGGACAGGACCCUGAAAGCCUCUCACGGAGAUUCCCCUCUGGGGCCUUGAGGAGAGACAAGGACAGCUGUGACCACAGGCCAGCCAGGAGUUGGGGUGUUCCCGGCUCCACGCCCCGGUGACUACCUCAGGCUCGUCCUCUGGGUGGACAGUACUGUAUGGGCGCCAGCGUCCUCAUCCCUGGCCGAGGGCCCUGGCACUGACUUCAUACUCCUCAGGGUUGUUCGGGGAGUGGCCGCUGCGCUGUUCGUUGGGCCUAGGCAUGAGACCCCCCUGCGGUAGUGGGCGAGCCAGAGGGCAGGCCCUUCCCCUGCCCGGGGCCCACGGGAUCAGUGAUCCUGGCUUCACCAGGCCCGGGAAGACCACACGGCACGGAGCAGCCUGGUGCCUGCCUGGAGGAGGCAGCCUGCUAGGGAGGGCUGUGGGAGUAGGUGAGGGGUGUCUGACGGCUCGGGGCUCUCGUCCAGCGGCACCAGUUACAAGGCAGAGGUGUUAUCAGGCAGAAGGCAGGAAUGACCUGUCCUCUGCCCUGCCACCCAUCGGCGGUGUGGCCUUGUGACGGUCACAUGACCUGUGUGGGCCUCAGGCUUGGGCGCCGGGCUUGUGUCUGCGGCUCCAGCCCAGACACCCUUCCCUGACAGCCAGGUUCCCUUCUGGAAAGAGGGAACAUUCUAGAGCCUCUGCCCGGCGGGAAAGCCCGGGUUACCCUGAUGGCAGGACCAGGCUGCUGGGGAGGGAGUGCCCCCUGGUCCAGCGGGUGGAGGUGCUGGGAGAGAGGGGCGUGGCUGGCACUCUGGCCACUUUGGGCACAGGUUGGCCUCUGGCAGACACCAGCCUUCCUCCAGCGCCUCCGGCGCAGGUCACCUGGGGACACCGCGGCCUCUCCUGUCUCCGGUCCAGAUGGGAGCGGUCCCGUCGCCUGUGAGCCUCUCCUGAGAGCCCCGCGGGUCUCUUCGCUGCACCUGCGUCCCCGCUCCCUCUCCUCCCUCCUUCCCUCCCCUCCCGGUCAGCGGUCUUCUCCUGCGGGGCAGCUCCCUGGGCGCACAGGCCCCUGCUGACCCACCUGCCAGGGCCCCGGGCCCUCAGCCUCCAGCGCCACCCCAGCUCCUGCCCCCGCCGCUCUCACCGCCGCCGCCUCCAGGAAGCGCCUCCGGGAGCCGCCGCGUCCGCCCAGCCCAGGCGCCGAGACUGACGGCCCUUUGGGGUGAGGUAGUAGGUUGUAUAGUUUGGGGCUCUGCCCUGCUAUGGGUUAACUAUACAAUCUACUGUCUUUCCUGAAGUGGCUGUAAUACCGACAGCGGCCAGCACCCAGGACCCUGGCUUGGGGCGGGCAGAUGGGGGAGGGGUGCGGCCUCUGCAGGGUGGGGCGGUGCUGUGUGACCUGGGGCAGGUCCCUGGACCUCUCUGAGCUUCAGUUUCCUUAUCUGUGAAACGGGGCAGGUGAGGGUUGAGGGCAGUACCGUGUGAGGUGUCCAAGGAGGGCUGCACUCAGCCGGCCCUUCCCUCCCCUCACACCGUCUGUGCCGCCUGCCCCUUGCCCUGUCCCCUCAAUGGGGCUCGUGGGCAGCCCCCAGUCCGGGCUGCGGCUGGCCCUGGAUGCCAGGAGGAGCAGCCCCAGGGCCAGCUGAGACUCGGCUGGGGUGGGGCAGCCCACGGGGCCAGCUACCAUCCGCCCGUUUCUCCAGUGGCCAGACUGCCCAGCUCAGCGCCAGGCCUCUGGUUGGCGGAGGGAGGGGGGCCGGGGCUCCCCUGUCGCGGGCAGGAAGCGAGAGGCACGUUCUCCAGCCCAUGGCGGCCCCACGGGGCCUGUGCCCACUCCCUGCACCGGCAGGUGGGCUGGACGCUGCGGGGGAGCCGUGGCGCCGUCAGCGUGGUCCUCCUGCCCGGUGCCCGCUCGGCCCUCCAGGGCUCUGGGGGCCGCGGGCUGGGCAGGUGGCGGGACGGCGGACCCUCCCACACCCGGGUGCCGGCGGGGUGAGGUAGUAGGUUGUGUGGUUUCAGGGUAGUGAUGUUGCCCCCUCGGAAGAUAACUAUACAACCUACUGCCUUCCUUGAGGGGCCCAGUGACGUCCACGGAGGGUCCGCCCCCGCGUGCAGCAGGCGACUGGGUGGCCAGGCAGGCAGGCGGGAGGCUGUGGCGUGCACACCUGGAGCUCAAUAAAGCUGUUCAUCGUGGAACUGGAGUCGGCCCUGUUCGUUCUGGGAGCCCGGGGGCUGGGCGCUGGAGGGCAUGCAUGUUGGUGUUGCAGGCGUGGGUCUGGCUUGAGUGGGGGGCCACCUCCAGGCUGCUGGGGGCUCAGCACACCCUCGUCUGCCAUCCCGGCCGCCUUCAGGCCCUCCUGGUGGGUGCAGUCCUGGACCCCAGCCCCCACCCAUCUCACACCCCAUUUGAGCACAAGCUGUGGGACCUGGGCUCCAGAGGCGUCCCUGGGCCCCCAGGUUGGUGGAGGCCCCCACAGGCCCCCCUGCAGGUGGUGUGGAUCCCAGUCAGCCACUCAGAGCACAGUCCAGGGCCCUGCCCCUGAUGCCACCUCAGACCCAGUGCCUGACUGGAGUCCGGAAGUCCCCAGCGCCCUCAGGACGGUUUCCCGAGUAGCCCUUAACGUCGGGGGUUCAUCUCCGGUCUGACUGCCUUCCCAGUGUCCACCCAGUUUCUGCUGGGGUCUCAGGCUCUCUGCCAGUGGCUGCUGCAGGCCUGUCCCCAUGCCACCAGCCCAGGUGUUGAAGAGACCCGUCGCCUUGACUCAGAGUACCCUUGGGGAGGGGCUGCCAUGCCUGGGUCCACUGCCCACCCCUGCACCCACGGCUGGAGCAGCACCCCCGUCACCCCACGACGCCUUGCGGGCUGGCUCCUGUCUGUGGCACAGGAAGUGCAGACGACAGCUCAGGGGCCCCCAGCUGCAGGACAGACAAGGCUCAGGCUGAUCCUGGGCAGGGUCUGGGACAGGGACCCUGUGACAAGGCCAGAGGAGGCUCCUGAUGCCGCCAGGGUCCCGGAGCGGGGAGAGGUGGGCUGAGCCUGGCGUGCCCUCAGCCUGAGUGCAGCAGCCUGGGGCUGUGGAGGGACCCCCUGCCCUCCUGCAGCCAUGAUGACAGCCCCAGUCUGCGAUCUCAGCCCCAGUCCCUCGCCCAUCCUGAGCCUCCUGCCUGGGUCCUGCAGGGCCCCAGCCCUGCGUGGCCACACCUGUGAGGCCAGCACCCCGACACCUGUCUGUGGCCUGGCUGCCCUUGCAGAGCUGCGGUUGCACUGUGGGUCAGGGUGGGAACCCAGAGCAGGGACCCCCAAGGGGCAGGGAGGGCUUUCUAAACCAGGGGCCAUAUGAGCUGGGUCUUGACACCUGUGUAGGAGUUUGCAGCUUGCUGGCUGUGUGGGUCAUCGAGGAGAGGCACUGCCCACCUCCUCUUCAUCACCCUGGGUCGGUCAGCAGCAGAAUCCGGCUGCUUGUGCUCCCUGGACACCCUGUGUGUCCCUCCUGUCUCUCCAUCCCCACUCCUACGGCAAGAUUUAAGAGCUGCUCGGAGCAGCCGCUCUGCCCUUCUGGGCACUGGGCUCCCACCUGGACUCGUCCCCGCCCCUCCUGCCUGCCGUGGUGCUGAGUGCACAGCCCCUCUCUGAAUGUCUGCAGCUCAGCACCACCUUUGGCCACGGGAGCCCAUGUCUGUCUCAGCUGACCGUGACUGUGGAUACCCUCCUGGCACUCUUGCUGUGUCUGGCCCUGCAGUCAUGGAGCAUCAUCAUCAGAGCUCAUGGCCUGGUAGGGAGCAGACCAGACACACAACAGCCACCUGUUGUGGUCAGCACCAUGAUGACGGCAGCCCAGGGGCUAGGAAAGCCCCGAAGAGCCCUGGGCCCUGCAUUGCAAUCGGGGAUGGCUUCCUGGAGGAGGUGACACCUGGUUCACCCUGCAACGUUCUCUACCUUCCAGGCAACCGACUUCCAGCCUCUCCUCUGUCACCAACUGGCUGACCCCAGAGACCAACAGGGCCUCAAAUGUGUGCCCAAGGGGCACGGGGGAGGGUGGUACCUACCACCUGCUGCUGCUGCUAAGUCGCUUCAGUCAUGUCCGACUCUGUGCGACCCCAUAGAUGGCAGCCCACCAGGCUCCCCUGUCCCUGGGAUUCUCCAGGCAAGAACACUGGAGUGGGUUCCCAUUGCCUUCUCCAAUGCAUGAAAGUGAAAGUGAAGUCGCUCAGUCGUGUCCGACUCUUCGUGACCCCAUGGGCUGCAGCCUACCAGCCUCCUCCGUCCAUGGGAGGUUCCAGGCAAGAGUACUGGAGUGGGGUGCCAUUGCCUUCUCUGACCACCUAGUCACCAGUAAUGUGCAGAAGCAGUUGAAUCCCAAAACAAACUGGAUGAAGUCAGGGUGGGCAAAGCAGCUACUUUGGGAGGUUCUGGGAGGUGGCAAAACGGGCCAGGCUUCAGGAGCAGAGGUCUGGGCAGUUGCUCUGCUCACCAAGCCUCAGUUUCCCCACCCCCCUUCGUAGGGGCUGUUUGAUGGAUGGAAGGAGCUAGCAGUUGAGACUGCUCAGCGGGGGUAGUGGAGCCAGGUCAGGGAGUGAGGGCCCUGGUCCGAAGCUGGGCGCCUGCUGCCACCUGCUGCCUAACCAGGGAGUGGCUCCUGGCCCAUCGUGGGCCCUGGGUCUGGCCAGCAGGUGAGCAGGGUGGAGAGCAGGCUGGGGCCCCCAGACUGUCAGCCCCCUGCCCCCCAGGGGAGACCAGGACCAUGCUCAGAGAUGUGGGUGAGUGCUGGGGGAGAGCAGAAGACCGCAACCCUGGAGGUGAUCCCCUGUCCCCAAGUGUGCAGAAGCCAGGCCUCCCUUGGACCUCUCUGCCUGCUGCGAUAGGCCGAGUGCAGCUGUGUCCCGCCGGGGAGAGGUCUGCGCAUUCCUGCCCUUCCUGGGAGGCGACUCACCAGGGGACUUGAGGGGCUUCUGGGGUGUCCAAGGUGGGGGGCCUUUGAGAAACCAUGGGCCUUAAGGUUCACAGGGGCCGCCGCUGACCUUGGACCCUGAGAGAGAUGAUGGCAGAGCCAGCCCAGCGUUUAGACCCUACAGACCAGGACUGAGCGAGGGCCCACCUGGCCACGUGGGCAUGGAGUGACCAGGCCGCCCCCCAGGGCUGAGGUGACUCAGGUGAGCUGACAAGGGUCCAGCGUCUCAGGGGACACUCAGGGCCACAGGGCUAGUCUGUCCAUCGGCAGGGCAGGCACAGCACCAAGGCCCACAUACUGUUCGUGACAACAGAAAGUCUCACUUUAACUCCGUUUAAAGUUUGAAGGAAAAAGGAAUACAAUGAUACUGACUAUAUAUUACACGUAAUAUACGAUAUAUGUUGUGACUGUAUAAUAAUACGUACGAUUCAACACAUGGCAUCCAUAGCAAUGAAACCACCUUGGAGUACAUGCGUCUAUGCCGCCAGGUCCUAAGACGUGUUUUGUAAUCAUGUUUAAGGAGGAAGCACCACCCCCCCACCGACCCCCACCCUCCCA